rnacentral:rRNA from 1 species
CAGUCGCCACGGUAAUACGUAGGGUGCAAGCGUUAAUCAGAAUUACUGGGCGUAAAGCGUGCGCAGGCGGUUUGUUAAGACGGAUGUGAAAUCCCCGGGCUCAACCUGGGAACUGCAUUCGUGACUGGCAAGCUAGAGUAUGGCAGAAGGGGGUGGAAUUCCACGUGUAGCAGUGAAAUGCGUAGAGAUGUGGAGGAACACCGAUGGCGAAGGCAGCCCCCUGGGCCAAUACUGACGCUCAUGCACGAAAGCGUGGGGAGCAAACAGGAUUAGAUACCCCGGUAGUCCCUGUCUCUUAUAC